rnacentral:lncRNA from 1 species
AUGCCAUCAGGCCUAAAUUAAGCCCAAGCCCAUAUGUAACUUAAGCCCCAACAUUAUAUGGGCCUGAAUUUGACCUAUGUUUGAAUGCAAUUGUAUAAAUCCAACUUUGGGCCAUUUUAAACCCAUGAAACUAUAUAUAUAGCCCAGAUCCAAAUUUUAAAAAACUAUAUGGUCUGGAAUCUAGCCCAAAUUCAGAUUCACAACCAAUCAAAUCUUACAUUGAGCCCAAAUCCAAAUCCCGUAUUGAACCCAAAUCCAAAUCCCAUAUCAAGCCCAAAUCAAAUUGAGCCCAAGCCCAAAUGAGCCCGAAUUCAACUCCAAAUCCAAAUGAGCCAUAUUGAACCCAAAUCUCAAUCCAAAAUGAAUUCGGCCCAUAUGAAGCCCAAAUCCAAAUCAAAAUAUGAAGCCCAAAUCCAAACCAAAACAUGAAGCCUAAAUCCAAAUCAAAAUGAAACCAGUCCAUGUUAAGCCUGAAUCCCAACCCAAUAGCCAACCUACACAAUUAAACCAAACCCAAUCCAAUUAUUUAUCCAAAUUGAUCCAAGCCAAACCCAACCCAAUUAAUUCCAAUCCGAAUGAGCCCAUAUCAAACCUUUUCUCUAGCAUAUAUAUAACUAGAGCUAAAUCUUGACAUAGUCAAACUCGAUCAAAUUCUAAAAAUGUUUGAUUAGAAUUGAUCAAACCAUAUACCAGGUUUCACCUAAUCAAAUCAAUUGAACUCUAAUAUAUCUACUUAGAGUUCAGAUAAAUGAAAUUAAAUUAAACUCUAAUACACACACUUAGAGUUUAAUCUUGACUAAUCCUAACUUAUAGAAUUAGGAUUCAGUUGAUAUUUUACCUUAUGAUAAACCCAAAUUCAUCU